UCGAACGAUGAAACUCACUUAGAUCUCUCUUCGGAAUGAAAAUGGAAUGGAUUAGUGGCGAACGGGUGAGUAACGCGUGAGUAACCUGCCUUACACAAGGGGAUAGCCUCUGGAAACGGAGAAUAAUACCCUAUGAAACCAGACAAUCGCAUGAUAAUCUGGUCAAAAUGUUUAGUGGUGUAAGAUGGACUUGCGUCUGAUUAGCUAGUUGGUGAGAUAACAGCUCACCAAGGCAACGAUCAGUAGCCGGCUUGAGAGAGUGUACGGCCACAUUGGGACUGAGACACGGCCCAGACUCCUACGGGAGGCAGCAGUGGGGAAUUUUGCACAAUGGGGGAAACCCUGAUGCAGCGACGCCGCGUGAUUUAGAAGGCCUUCGGGUUGUAAAAAUCUUUUGUAUAGGAAGAAAAUGACAGUACUAUACGAAUAAGGUCCGGCUAAUUACGUGCCAGCAGCCGCGGUAAUACGUAAGGACCGAGCGUUGUCCGGAAUCAUUGGGCGUAAAGGGUACGUAGGCGGGUUUUUAAGUUAGAAGUCAAAGGCUAUAGCUCAACUAUAGUAAGCUUCUAAAACUGGGGACCUUGAGUAAUGGAAGGGAAAGUGGAAUUCCUAGUGUAGCGGUGGAAUGCGCAGAUAUUAGGAGGAAUACCGGUGGCGAAGGCGACUUUCUGGCCAUUAACUGACGCUGAGGUACGAAAGCGUGGGUAGCAAACAGGAUUAGAUACCCUGGUAGUCCACGCCGUAAACGAUGAGUGUUAGGUGUCUGGAGUAAAUCUGGGUGCCGCAGCUAACGCAUUAAACACUCCGCCUGGGGAGUACGCACGCAAGUGUGAAACUCAAAGGAAUUGACGGGGACCCGCACAAGCAGCGGAGCAUGUGGUUUAAUUCGAAGCAACGCGAAGAACCUUACCCAGUCUUGACAUAUUUUGGAAGCACUUAGAGAUAAGAGCCUAUAUCUUCGGAUAACUGAAAUACAGGUGGUGCAUGGUUGUCGUCAGCUCGUGUCGGGAGAUGUUGGGGUAAGUCCCAUAACGAGCGCAACCCCUUUUGCUAGUACCAUCAUAAAUU
rnacentral:rRNA from 1 species